rfam:Microbacterium sp. Ag1 JX02_contig_18, whole genome shotgun sequence.
UCCCACCGCUUCAUCACUACGGAUCGUCCGGCACGUACCUGCCGGUGAAGGAGAAACGA